GUCGAGAAUCUUCCCCAAUGGGCGAAAGCCUGAGGGAGCGACGCCGCGUGAGGGAUGAAGGCCCUUUGGGUUGUAAACCUCUGUUAGGGGGAAAGAAAAGCAGUGGAAGCAAUAUGUCCAUUGCCUGACGUUACCCCCAGAGAAAGCUCCGGCCAACUCCGUGCCAGCAGCCGCGGUAAUACGGGGGGAGCAAGCGUUGUCCGGAAUCAUUGGGCGUAAAGGGCGUGUAGGCGGCUUGGCAAGUCGAAUGUGAAAUCCCACGGCUCAACCGUGGAACUGCGUUCGAAACUGCCUUGCUUGAGUGCGGGAGAGGUGUGCGGAAUUCCUGGUGUAGCGGUGGAAUGCGUAGAUAUCAGGAAGAACACCGGUGGCGAAGGCGGCACACUGGCCCAGCACUGACGCUGAGGCGCGAAAGCGUGGGGAGCGAACGGGAUUAGAAACCCCGGUAGUCC
rnacentral:rRNA from 1 species